rnacentral:lncRNA from 1 species
UGUGUGUGACCCCACAGGUUCGAACCUAAGCUGGUAGCACAGGAACCAAUUCCUGUACUAAUCGAAGUGACCAUCUAGCAAUGGUACCCGAUAUUUGGAUGGGUCGAAUAGUCAUAAUCGCAACACUCAGAACCUACGUGAAUAUGGUUACUAUAUAAUUCAUCCUUUUGACCCCUGUGUUUAGGUUGACUCAGGGUUAAACUGUCAACCCUGAUCAGAUCAUCCGAAUCGUGCUCAACUCAAACAGUCCUGUGACUCCUCACAAAGACUACCCUGACCAAGAUUUUGCUAAAUUAAAAUACAACUGUACAUAGCUCCCAAACUGGAGUGGUCAAUCUCAUCUUGACACAUGCAUCGACAAGUCAAGUACUUGACUACACCCAACAGCCUUCCAUCACUGAAUUAAAAAUUCAGGUAGCCCAGUGCCUAAGUACGGUGAGUUGCUUGCAAGUCACCAUGGCAGUCUCCAGUUGGAGGGAUAUUUAUACCCAUAUUCCAUCAGAAUAAAUCUUGACAGUAGAAAUAGCUCCAGAGUCGGUCACGUUCAGUGCAGAUGUACCCUUAUAUCUCACCUGUAUGCCAUACC